AUUGAACGCUGGCGGCAGGCCUAACACAUGCAAGUCGAGCGGCUGCAGGGAGCUUGCUCCUGGAUUCAGCGGCGGACGGGUGAGUAAUGCCUAGGAAUCUGCCUGGUUGUGGGGUAUAACGUCCGGAAACGGGCGCUAAUACCGCAUACGUCCUGAUGGUGAAAGUGGGGGAUCUUCGGACCUCAUGCUAUCAGAUGAGCCUAGGUCGGAUUAGCUAGUUGGUGGGGUAAAGGCCUACCAAGGCGACGAUCCGUAACUGGUCUGAGAGGAUGAUCAGUCACACUGGAACUGAGACACGGUCCAGACUCCUACGGGAGGCAGCAGUGGGGAAUAUUGGACAAUGGGCGAAAGCCUGAUCCAGCCAUGCCGCGUGUGUGAAGAAGGUCUUCGGAUUGUAAAGCACUUUAAGUUGGGAGGAAAGGCAGUAAGUUAAUACCUUGCUGUUUUGACGUUACCAACAGAAUAAGCACCGGCUAACUUCGUG
rnacentral:rRNA from 1 species